GCAAACUGAAUAGCUCAGUUGGUUAGAGGGUGAUGCUGAUAAUGCCAAGGUUGCAGGUUCGAUCCCUGUAUGGGGCAGCUGCA
rnacentral:tRNA from 1 species